AUUGAACGCUGGCGGCAGGCCUAACACAUGCAAGUCGAGCGGAUGAAGGGAGCUUGCUCCUGGAUUCAGCGGCGGACGGGUGAGUAAUGCCUAGGAAUCUGCCUGGUAGUGGGGGAUAACGUCCGGAAACGGGCGCUAAUACCGCAUACGUCCUGAGGGAGAAAGUGGGGGAUCUUCGGACCUCACGCUAUCAGAUGAGCCUAGGUCGGAUUAGCUAGUUGGUGGGGUAAAGACCUACCAAGGCGACGAUCCGUAACUGGUCUGAGAGGAUGAUCAGUCACACUGGAACUGGGACACGGUCCAGACUCCUACGGGAGGCAGCAGUGGGGAAUAUUGGACAAUGGGCGAAAGCCUGAUCCAGCCAUGCCGCGUGUGUGAAGAAGGUCCUCGGAUUGUAAAGCACUUUAAGUUGGGAGGAAGGGCAGUAAGUUAAUACCUUGCUGUUUUGACGUUACCAACAGAAUAAGCACCGGCUAACUUCGUG
rnacentral:rRNA from 1 species